AUUGAACGCUGGCGGCAGGCCUAACACAUGCAAGUCGAGCGAGCGGCGGACGGGUGUGUAAUGUCUGGGAACCUGCCUGAUGGAGGGGGAUAACUUCUGGAAACGGUUGCUAAUACCGCUUACCAUCAGAUGCGCCCAGAUGGGAUUAGCUCGUGGGUGGGGUAACGGCUCACAUAGGCGACGAUCCCUAGCUGGUCUGAGAGGAUGACCAGCCACACUGGAACUGAGACACGGUCCAGACGCCUACGGGAGGCAGCAGUGGGGAAUAUUGCGCAAUGGGCGCGAGCCUGAUGCAGCCAUGCCGCGUGUGUGAAGAAGGCCGUCGGGUUGUAAAGCACUUUCAGCGGGGAGGCGUUACCCGCAGAAGAAGCACCGGCUAACUCCGUGCCAGCAGCCGCGGUAAUAC
rnacentral:rRNA from 1 species